CUUCGGAUGAAGAGGUUUGUGACUGAGUGGCGGACGGGUGAGUAACGCGUGGGUAACCUGCCUCAUACAGGGGGAUAACAGUUAGAAAUGACUGCUAAUACCGCAUAAGACCACGGAGCCGCAUGGCUCAGUGGGAAAAACUCCGGUGGUAUGAGAUGGACCCGCGUCUGAUUAGGUAGUUGGUGGGGUAACGGCCUACCAAGCCAACGAUCAGUAGCCGACCUGAGAGGGUGACCGGCCACAUUGGGACUGAGACACGGCCCAAACUCCUACGGGAGGCAGCAGUGGGGAAUAUUGCACAAUGGGGGGAACCCUGAUGCAGCGACGCCGCGUGAGCGAAGAAGUAUUUCGGUAUGUAAAGCUCUAUCAGCAGGGAAGAAAAUGACGGUACCUGACUAAGAAGCACCGGCUAAAUACGUGCCAGCAGCCGCGGUAAUACGUAUGGUGCAAGCGUUAUCCGGAUUUACUGGGUGUAAAGGGAGCGUAGACGGCUGUGUAAGUCUGAAGUGAAAGCCCGGGGCUCAACCCCGGGACUGCUUUGGAAACUAUGCAGCUAGAGUGUCGGAGAGGUAAGUGGAAUUCCCAGUGUAGCGGUGAAAUGCGUAGAUAUUGGGAGGAACACCAGUGGCGAAGGCGGCUUACUGGACGAUGACUGACGUUGAGGCUCGAAAGCGUGGGGAGCAAACAGGAUUAGAUACCCUGGUAGUCCACGCCGUAAACGAUGACUACUAGGUGUCGGGGAGCAAAGCUCUUCGGUGCCGCAGCAAACGCAAUAAGUAGUCCACCUGGGGAGUACGUUCGCAAGAAUGAAACUCAAAGGAAUUGACGGGG
rnacentral:rRNA from 1 species